CAAUGUGACAUUUGUAAGUGAUUUAUUGAUUGCUUAGUAACUUGUAAUGCCUGGUAACAGUAACAACAAACACAAAUAAUUAAUUUACCUCACCCCCCACCCAUAACACACACUUUAUUGGACUAUUCCUCCCUGGUCACCGUGCGCUUUGAACGACUGCAUCAAUUGAAAUUAAGCCACAGCAUGAGAAGCUACGUAGAAGUGGUGUUAUAGAUAUUUCUGAUUGAAAAAGUCAACUUUUUAACAAAACACAAUGACUGCCAGAUACGACAGAGCUCACAGUCUUCUCGCCCGAUCGCCUCCUCUUCCCAAGUGGAAGUAUUUGCUGGACCAAUACAAAUAAACGGUGGCGUUUUAUUUUCAGGAAAUAAACAUAUGUCAAUUAUUUAAUAUGGAUGGUUGGUUUUGUGUUUGAUCUUGUUAAGGUUGGAAUUCGAGGAAAAGAUAUUGUCGUUCUUGGCGUUGUGAAGAAAUCUGUUGCCAAGCUGCAAGAGGAAAGGACUGUUCGGAAAAUAUGUGCUCUUGAUGAGCAUGUCUGUAUGGCGUUUGCAGCGCUACACUCAGAGCAAUGGAUGCAGGCCAUUUGGAAUCUCUGCCUUGAUUGUGGGCUUUGACUACAAUGGCCCUCCAAGGUUAUAUCAAACGGAUCCUUCUGGCACAUGGAUGAUUCUGGAAUCCAAGGAAAUAGAAACACUGGUUGCAGAAAUCGAGAAGUAAAAAGGAAGAAGCCGAGAAGAAGCAGCAGAAGAAAACCACCUUUUUUUUUUUUUUUUUUUAAGGACAAAAUACUAAGUCCAAAAUGUACUUUGUUUACACGAGCUACAACAGGUCAAAAACUUUAAUGCUAGCCUCUUGAUUGGUGUUGUGUGUUUUUUUUUCCAUUAAACUUUUGUUACAGUUGAAUUAAAGCAUUUUUAACCCUAAAAAGUGCUGUUCAGAUUUGUAAAGGCAUUAAAAAAAAAACUAAAUAAAGACUCAUCUGAUGUA